UUCAAGGCAGCAGCAGGGGGCCAGGGCUUCAAGGGGGCAGCCAUUUUUUAAAAUCGGAACAGCCAUCGGAGGAGCAAUUUUUUCAAUAAUUACGGCGGCAGUGUGUGGAAAGCGCGGGAGGGGAUUCUUUUUGCUGGUCGACGUCAUCUUGGUGAAGAAAGGCGGGGCACAGGUCUUUUCGCUUGGAGGCAGAAGGACAUAAAGGCUUCACAGGCAAGUUCGAAGAGCCAGGAGGAUUCUGUAUUGUUUGUUGCCUGACAUAAGGAUUCUGCACCUACUACAAGCUGGUUUCUUCCACCAAAAGAAGAGAACUAUAAAGCAAGCUGCCAGUCUAGUGAAGAAGCCCCUGGAAUAUUAAUAGGCCAGAUCAAGUCAUGUGAUAAGGCCUGAUCCGGAAUCCAAAGUUGGAUCAGGCUUG